rnacentral:lncRNA from 1 species
AGUGAACAAAAAUUUAUUCACUUCUUUCACUACCCCUACAAUAACAGGACUACCUAUUGUUAUUCUAAUCAUUUCAUUUCUAAAUAUCAUGUUUCCUGCCCCCAAUCACCUAAUCAAUAAUCUAUUGAACAGUCUCUGUUCAACAGUAAUUCGUGCAACUCAUACUAAAACAAUAACAAUACAUAAUAUCAAAGAACACAUUUGAUCUCUAAUAUUAAUUUCACUUAUUUAUCAGCUAAACAAAUUCACUAGGAUUAUUACCCCACUCACUCCCACCAGCCACCCAAUUAUCAGAAAAUCUAGGUAUAACUAUCCCACUAUCAGCAGGAGCAGUAAUUACCUGCUUUCACCACAAAACAAAGCAUUAUUAAUGGCUCACUUCCUACCACAAGGAACACCUUUCCACUUAUCCCCAUGCUAGUUAUUAUUGAAACUAUAAUAUUAGCCUUUUUAUUCAACCCACGGCCCUAGCAGUACAAUUAACAGCCAACAUUACAGUGGCUAUCUACCAUAUGCUUAAUCAGUGGAGCCACCUUAAUCCUAAUAUCCAUUUGCCCGGCAACAGCCUUAGUUACAUUUCUCAUUACUUAUCACUCCUGAAUUUACGGUUGCCCUAAUUCAGGCUAACAUCUUCAAGCUUCUAGUUAGGCUUUACCUAGAUGAUAAU